UACGAAGGGGGCUAGCGUUGCUCGGAAUCACUGGGCGUAAAGGGUGCGUAGGCGGGUUUUUAAGUCCGGGGUGAAAUCCUGGAGCUCAACUCCAGAACUGCCUUUGAUACUGAAGAUCUUGAGUUCGGGAGAGGUGAGUGGAACUGCGAGUGUAGAGGUGAAAUUCGUAGAUAUUCGCAAGAACACCAGUGGCGAAGGCGGCUCACUGGCCCGAUACUGACGCUGAGGCACGAAAGCAUGGGGAGCGAACAGG
rnacentral:rRNA from 1 species